AGUUUGAUCCUGGCUCAGGAUGAACGCUGGCGGCGUGCCUAACACAUGCAAGUCGAACGGAGCUUUAGAUGAAACCUAGUGAUUUUAAAGCUUAGUGGCGGACGGGUGAGUAACGCGUGGGUAACCUGCCUCAUCGAGGGGGAUAACAGUUAGAAAUGACUGCUAAUACCGCAUAAGCGCACAGAUCGGCAUCGGUCAGUGUGAAAAGAUUUAUCACGAUGGGAUGGACCCGCGUCUGAUUAGCUAGUUGGAGGUGUAACGGACCACCAAGGCGACGAUCAGUAGCCGGACUGAGAGGUUGAACGGCCACAUUGGGACUGAGACACGGCCCAAACUCCUACGGGAGGCAGCAGUGGGGGAUAUUGCACAAUGGGGGAAACCCUGAUGCAGCGACGCCGCGUGGGUGAAGAAGUCUUUCGGGAUGUAAAGCCCUAUCAGCAGGGAAGAAGUAAGACGGUACCUGACUAAGAAGCCCCGGCUAACUACGUGCCAGCAGCCGCGGUAAUACGUAGGGGGCAAGCGUUAUCCGGAUUUACUGGGUGUAAAGGGAGCGUAGACGGACGUGCAAGUCUGAAGUGAAAAUAAAGGGCUCAACCCUUUACCUGCUUUGGAAACUGUAGGUCUUGAGUACCGGAGGGGUAAGCGGAAUUCCUGGUGUAGCGGUGAAAUGCGUAGAUAUCAGGAAGAACACCGGUGGCGAAGGCGGCUUACUGGACGGUAACUGACGUUGAGGCUCGAAAGCGUGGGGAGCAAACAGGAUUAGAUACCCUGGUAGUCCACGCCGUAAACGAUGAGUACUAAGUGUGCGGAGGCGAAGCCUCUGCGUGCUGCCGCAAACGCAGUAAGUACUCCACCUGGGGAGUACGUUCGCAAGAAUGAAACUCAAAGGAAUUGACGGGGACCCGCACAAGCGGUGGAACAUGUGGUUUAAUUCGAAGCAACGCGAAGAACCUUACCAGGUCUUGACAUCCCGAUGAAUAGGUGGUAAUGCACCUAGCUCUUCGGAGCAUCGGAGACAGGUGGUGCAUGGUUGUCGUCAGCUCGUGUCGUGAGAUGUUGGGUUAAGUCCCGCAACGAGCGCAACCCUUAUCCUUAGUAGCCAGCAGUCAGAUGGGCACUCUAGGGAGACUGCCAGGGAUAACC
rnacentral:rRNA from 1 species